AUUGAACGCUGGCGGCAGGCCUAACACAUGCAAGUCGAGCGAGCGACGGACGGGUGAGUAAUGGAUGGGGAAUGCCCGAUAGCGGGGGAUAACUGCUGGAAACGGUAUCUAAUACCGCAUACAAUCGGAUACCGCAUAUGGGAUUAGCUAGUUGGGGAGGUAAUGGCUAACCAAGGCGACGAUCCCUAGCUGGGCUGAGAGGGUGAUCAGCCACACUGGGACUGAGACACGGCCCAGACUCCGACGGAGGCAGCAGUGGGGAAUAUUGCACAAUGGGCGCAAGCCUGAUGCAGCCAUGCCGCGUGUAUGAAGAAGGCCUUCGGGUUGUAAAGUACUUUCGUUCGGGAGGCGUUACCGACCCAGGAAGCACCGGCUAACUCCGUGCCAGCAGCCGCGGUAAUAC
rnacentral:rRNA from 1 species